rnacentral:rRNA from 1 species
AGAGUUUGAUCAUGGCUCAGGACGAACGCUGGCGGCGUGCUUAACACAUGCAAGUCGAGCGGUAAGGCCCUUCGGGGUACACGAGCGGCGAACGGGUGAGUAACACGUAGGUGAUCUGCCCUGCACUUCGGGAUAAGCCUGGGAAACUGGGUCUAAUACCGGAUAUGACCAAGGACUGCAUGGUUUUUGGUGGAAAGGUUUACUGGUGCAGGAUGGGCCCGCGGCCUAUCAGCUUGUUGGUGGGGUAAUGGCCUACCAAGGCGACGACGGGUAGCCGACCUGAGAGGGUGACCGGCCACACUGGGACUGAGACACGGCCCAGACUCCUACGGGAGGCAGCAGUGGGGAAUAUUGCACAAUGGGCGAAAGCCUGAUGCAGCGACGCCGCGUGAGGGAUGACGGCCUUCGGGUUGUAAACCUCUUUCAGCAGGGACGAAGCGAAAGUGACGGUACCUGCAGAAGAAGCACCGGCCAACUACGUGCCAGCAGCCGCGGUA